GAGGGUAUAGCUCAGUGGUAAAGUGCAUGCUUAGCAUGCAUGAGGUCCUAGGUUCAAUUCCAGUGCCUCCA
rnacentral:tRNA from 1 species